rnacentral:rRNA from 1 species
GACGAACGCUGGCGGCGUGCUUAACACAUGCAAGUCGAACGGAAAGGCCCUGCUUUUGUGGGGUGCUCGAGUGGCGAACGGGUGAGUAACACGUGAGUAACCUGCCCUUGACUUUGGGAUAACUUCAGGAAACUGGGGCUAAUACCGGAUAGGAGCUCCUGCUGCAUGGUGGGGGUUGGAAAGUUUCGGCGGUUGGGGAUGGACUCGCGGCUUAUCAGCUUGUUGGUGGGGUAGUGGCUUACCAAGGCUUUGACGGGUAGCCGGCCUGAGAGGGUGACCGGCCACAUUGGGACUGAGAUACGGCCCAGACUCCUACGGGAGGCAGAAGUGGGGAAUAUUGCACAAUGGGCGGAAGCCUGAUGCAGCAACGCUGCGUGCGGGAUGACGGCCUUCGGGUUGUAAACCGCUUUCGCCUGUGACGAAGCGUGAGUGACGGUAAUGGGUAAAGAAGCACCGGCUAACUACGUG